UUUUUUUAAUUUAAUUUUUUUAUAUGUAUGUGUUUUGCCUGUGUGUAUUGUAUGUACACCAUGUGUGUCUUGUGUCUUUAAAGGUCAGAAGAUAGUAUCAGAUCCUCUGGAACUGGAGGUAAAUAGGUUAUGAGCCACCCUGUGGGUGUUGGAAACCAAACCCAGGUCCCCUGCAAGUAACAGGAAGUGUUCUGAACUGUGAGCCAUCUCUCCAACUACUCGACCAGUAUUUUUAUUUGUGCAUUUGUGUACUGUUUUUCUGAAUCACUUAGGUUUAGAAAGCCAUAGAGUGCUGUGAAGAAACUGGGUGUUAUUAAACUGUGAAAGAUGAAGACACUCUGGAAUAGUGUGCAUGUGAACAGUCUGCAGUCUCAGGGACACGUGAUUGGCCGUGGGGUUCUGAAGAAAGCCAGAGGAAAAGCUCAUUGUACAUAUGAAGUGAAAUUGGAAUUAUGGUUCCUGGGAUCCACGGCUGAGAGCAUGUGACCAGUUCUUCAGGACAGCUGAGUUGAAUGCUAUAUUUUUAUCCUCAC